AUACGGAGGGUGCAAGCGUUACUCGGAAUCACUGGGCGUAAAGCGCGCGCAGGCGGCUUGAUAAGUUGGAUGUGAAAGCCUACGGCUCAACCGUAGAACUGCAUCCAAAACUGUCAGGCUAGAGUGUGCGAGAGGAAGAUGGAAUUAGUUGUGUAGGGGUAAAAUCCGUAGAGAUAACUAGGAAUACCAAAAGCGAAGGCAAUCUUCUGGAACACUACUGACGCUGAGGCGCGAAGGCGUGGGGAGCAAACAGAAUUAGAUACCCCGGUAGUCC
rnacentral:rRNA from 1 species